GGUGGGCAAAUAAAGUAAGCAAGCAACAGCACCGAGGGCGGAUGGGAGGAAAGAGUAAGCAGGAAGGUUGAGAUCGGAGGCCACUUCGAAUGCUGCGCUGGUGCAGAAGAAGUCAACGAUAAUGGCGUUGAGUGUGUAGUUAUUGGAGAUGGUGAGAAGGGUGCGGCGGACAUCGGGGUUACUGAGGCGGAUGACGUCGAAGAGAAGGGGAUCUAAGCCAGUUGAGGUUAGAAGGAGGUCGACGGUGGGGAGGUAGUGGAAGGUGAUGGAAGGAGGAACGGGGGAGGGGACGGUGGAGGAAGGUUGUGAAGGAAGGGUGGCGAUGAGGAUGUGGAUAGAAAGGGAAGGGUGGUGAGUGAGGAGGAGCUUGGCGAACUCUACCAUGGGUGCCAGGUGAGUAAGCAUAGGUGCUGGGUACAUAACUAUGGCUUCCUCCAUUAGUGAUAGUGAAAAUUGGAGAAUGACACAAUGUAUAUAUAAAUCAUCAAGAAAACAUUUGGUGGAUAUGGGGUUUUUAUUUUUUAAAUGUGCUAUUACUCCUUGUAAGUUCAUAAAAUUUUAGAUUUAGUGCCUCGGUUAAAAAAAUUAAAAAUCAAGUUUUUUAUUUAAAAAUAUUAAUCUAGUCAUUAUAAUCGUACUUAAUUUUUGUCAAUUUUAUCAGCUUAAAAAUUUGAUUAAACUGUUAUGACAUGACAUAUAAUUAACAUAAAAUAAAUAUGUUAAAUUUACAAAUUUUAAUAAAUAAUGAACUAAAAUUUUAAAUUGAAAAAAAAUAAGAGGAUUAAUUUUUUAUCUUUUAAAGUAUAAGGGCCAAAUCUCAAAUUAUAUAAAAGUAACGAGACUAGCAACACAUUUUAACCUCUUCUUUCUGAAGUUACGACCGUAUUAACCCUUCCAUUUUGAAUAGACCGGUUUCUAAUUACACGUUUAACUUUUUAAUUAAUUUUUAAAUAAUGUAUUUUUAAUUCUUAUAAUUGAUUUUUAAUUAAUUCUUCAUAAUUAAAAUAUAUAAUAAUUUAAAUAUAAUUAUUAUUUUUAAAUAUCGUAUUAGUAGAUCAGUAAAGUUUUUAAUAAUAUUAAAAAAAAUUCAAAUUAUAAUUAAAAUAUUUAUACUAUUUUUAGUAUAUAAUAUAAUUUUUACUUCAUGUAAUCAUUAUUUAAACUAAUAGUUAAUAAUUUUUAUUAAAAUAUAUUAAUUAUUUCAAUAAUUCAAAUAUAGCACUAAUAAAAAAUUCUUAUUAUUAAAGCAUUUGUACAAACACUAGAAAAUUGGAAUAUUGUAAAAUAAACUCUUCACCUUUCAAUUUUUCUUUUUAUUUUCUUAAUGGUCAAUAAAUUAAUUAUAAUAAAUUUUAAAUAAUAUAUAAUUAAUAUGUAGCAAAAAAAUAAACAAAAAUUUUUUUUAAAAAUGAUUAUAAUUCUAAAAUAAAUUAUGUCAAAAUUUACUUUAAUUAUAAUUAUUUUAACUAAACCUUUUUAAAUAAUAAAUGUAAAUUACAUGUUAAUUUAAUAAUAUAAUAGAAAAUAAAAAAUAUUUUCAUUAAUUCAAACACUUUUUUUAAAUGGAUGCUUUUAUAUAUAUUAUAAGUAAUUACAUGUACAAACUCAACUGUUAAGUAAACAUAAACUAACUAUUUAUUAUCAGAAUAAAUUUAAUUUAAAAUUUAUAUAUUAUAGAAUAAAACUCGAAUUUAAAAUCUCAAUUUUUCAAUGCCUCGAUGAUUGAACCAUGACUGAAACAUAAUUUAAAAUCUUCACUAAAAUUGAAUUUUUUUAUAUUUAUUUGAUUUGAUUCAUUCAUUGGUUAUUGAGUUGUUGAUAUUGAUUUGAAUUGUUUUGAAUGUUGGCUGCUACUUUAAGGAUCUUACUGAACUGAGAUCGAGUGUACUUGACGGAUCAACUAUAGCACUUCACCCAACCCUUCGUUCAACAUGAGAUUAGUUGCUGGAAUGACAGUCAAUAACCCAAAUUUCAGCUACUUCAGAUACGGAACGACGAGUGUUGUGGUAAACAAGUUGGGCGGCUUUAGGCCCAAGAGCAAGAGUUACAACAAAAAUUAGGGCUCAAUAUUAAUUUCAUUAUAGUUUGUUAUAAUAUUUGUUUUUUUUUUCAUACAAGGUCUAAAUCCUGAUUUUUUUAUUGAAAUAAAUUAAAAAAAUUAUAUAUUAAAAUAGGUUGUCAGCUAGAUUAUUUACUAAAAUAGGUUUUUUUUAUUCGCGUCUAUAUACAGGCGUGACUCUUUUUUUAAAUAUUAAAAUAUAAUUUUUUAAAUAAAAUAUUGUUUUUUUAUUUUUAUUAAAAAUAUUUAAAUUUAUAUAUAUGUAAAAAUACAAUCAACAAGUCAAAAUACGAGUAAAAAAUACACGAGAAUGGGUCGUGCCUGUCAGAUAGGCGCGACUAAUCGUGCCUGACAGGUAGGCGCAAAUGGUACUGUUCCGCAUAUUGCACAAACAGCCCCCCGCGUGCCAGCUGCUGCUACUACUGUAGACUCAUUUCAUAUUUUUUUAUAUCAACUUGGAUAUAAAUUUGUUCAAGUUUAAUCAUAACAGACUCUUUUCAUAAAUUUAUAUACUUUAUAAAAUUAUUUUUAUAAAAAAAUGAUUGUAGAAAUAUUGAAGAAUAUAAAUCAAGUAUUAACAUACCAAUACUUAAUAAUAACUUUAAAAAAAUUAAGAAAUUGAUAAUAAUACAUUAAUAGUAUCGAUUAAAAGCGUUUCUCAAAUCCCAUAAUUAAGAAAUAUUUUGAACAUAGGAGUAGAGUUUUGGCUGUGUGAAAAAAUAUGAGAUAUGAAUAUUUAUAUCUACAAUAACAAGUAGAAUAUGAAUCUUCGAAUUCCAUUUAAUGCACUGUUGAUUCUAAGUAUGAAUUAAGAUAUUGACAAAUACUUUUAUUAAAAUUAUUUAAAAUUUAAUUAAAAAAUUUAACACCCACAGAUAUCAAUGUUGUGUUUAGUUUAGUAUCUGGUGAAUUUAAGAUUAAGUUAUAAAUUAUUUAACACCCACAAAUAUCAAUGUUUCUAGUGUUUUGUAUUUUUUUAAUAUAAUUUUUAUAUAAUGUAAUUUUAUUUGAUUUUUUAUUUUUAUUGACAAUUUUUGCGGUAUAUAUAAGGGAAAAAAUAAGCAACAGACGCUCUUGUGGGCCCCACCAUUUGCGCCUCUGAGAUAGGCACAAUUAAUUGCGCCUCUAAAAAAGGCUCAACUAGUCGCGCCUUUGAGAUAGACGCAACCUGUAUUUGUAUCUAUACACAGGUCAUACUGAUCCGAAAAUAAAAAAUAAUAUUUUAUUUAAUAAAACAAAAAAAUAUAUUUUUAAUAUAAAAAAAAGAAUCGCACCUAUCAAAUAGGCAAGAAUAAAAAAAACGACUCAUUUUAAUAAAUAAUCUAACUGACAAUCUAUUUUGGUAUAUAAUUUUUUUUAAUUUAUUUCAGUAAAAAAUCCGUCUAAACCCACUCAUAGUUUUUCUCCAUCUCUUAAAUAGCAGGAUAAAAUAUUUCAACUUAUUCGAACUCACGACCUCCUAUAAUGACAACAAUACUAACACUAAUCGAAUUAAGAUUCAAUCCACAACAAAAAUAACAACCGGUUCUGUCCGAGUCAUUUCAGCUUCCAUGACUCUAAAAGUUUGACUAGCGCAGUACGAGAGGAACCUCCCUCACUCGUCGCUACCUCGGCUGCACGUUUCAUAUCUAACGUUCGCUGCCUAACUGAGUCACUUUCUUGCGACUCAAUCAACUCUUUGACUCGCUUCUCCACCUCAGUUGAACACACGAACCCCGUUUCCGACUCCACCAUCGGCAAUGCGAUCUUCAUUUCUUCUACCAUCAACACCCUAUUGAGCCUUUGUUCUGCAUGAAGUGGCCAGGCCAACAUUGGAACCCCUGCACACACCGAUUCCAGCACCGAGUUCCAGCCGCAGUGAGUUAUGAAUCCACCAAUCGAGUCGUGAUUCAACACGGCUGUUUGAGGUGCCCAUGAUUUGACUACCAGUCCCCUCUCUUUGGUCCUCUCCAAGAACCCUUGAGGAAGCAAUGAAUUCAAAUCUUGGUCCAAGCUUUGGUCCUCUAAUGGUGGGUUCUUCAGCACCCACAAGAAUCUCUGCCCACUGCUCUCUAAUCCAACAGCUAUUUCUUUUAUUUGUUGCAUUGAGAACGAACCCGAGCUACCAAAACAAAGAAACACUACGCUUUUACUAGGUUGUGAGUCUAGCCACUUUAAGCAAUAAGGAACAUCGCCGCCGUCUGCGGUGGAGUAGGCAAUGGAAGGUCCAAUGCAGUAAAGGGGAGGCGUGG
rnacentral:lncRNA from 1 species